GCUGCAGACCCCGCUCUCCAGCAAGGACCACGGGGUCACCAUGGCCCUUUCCGCCUUAGACGGGUUCUGCUGUCAGCCGCCGUUCCCACACCUGAUCGAGCCCAGAAUGUGGGCCGGCAGAGAGACACUUCCUGCUCUGUGUUGUCUGUGAGGACGCCCUAGAGAGAUUCCUGACCACAGUGGGGCCGAGGCCCUAAAGACGGACUUGAAGAGGCUUCUCUUGUGAAGGAGUUCUGUAAAUGCAGUUGAGAGCAACCAAAUCAUCUACUAACAAGUUGUGUACAGAUCACUCAGUAACUGAAGCGCAGGGCCCGGGUGUGGCAAAUGUCUGGCCAGGACUUGCCCAGGUCAGCUGGCUCUGUGAUGUCGACCCCCCACCCCAUAUGCCGGUUCAUGGUCCACAAUGGCCACUGACAUCAUAACUGAUAUUAAAAUCCUGGAGACUGCAGUCCCCACAGUUGCUGAGUUCAGUAAGAAAAUACGGAGCAGUUAUUCUUGUGCUGCAGUCUGCUCAGGGUGCUUGCGUACUGGAGGGGGAUCUUCAGAGAAUGUGCCCUGAGUCAACUUUGGAACUCUGCCUUCAGGGCCAAACACGUUUUGUGGUCGGUCUGCUUCUUCAGAGCUCACUCAACAGCAUCCGUGCAUCUCUCUGUGCCUGGUGGCGGGCGGGCGCAACUUGCAUCUCUCUGCCCCAAGGUCACCCUGGUUGGCCCCCGCCCAGCAGUCUCCAGUCUCCCUGGAAACCCCCCGCCCGUGUCCUGAUUCUGUGUGCCCCCCCAAAGUAAGUGUGCUUCCUGCUUACCUGGGGGCUCCCUGCCUCUCGAGACAGACCAAGUCCUGGAGGUCAGCGGGCCCACCACUGCUUCUGGAACCUGUCUACAUACGACGUACGUGCAAACACGCAGGAAUUUUCUGGAACAUGGACCCGAGCGUUUGAUCACAGAGGCCAGGAAACCAGCCAGCAGUCCUGACUCGCUUUCAGGGCUGGGCUGGAGGGUCAGGUUUCCUGCUCGCCCCACCUGGGGUGCAGGUCUCACCAUUACCUGGGUGCGUCCGGGUGUGUUCUCUGGCUGGGCAGAGCUCAGGUCGUCUGCAUCCUUUGCAAACGAGGCUGCCUGCUCGGAACUGCCGUCGGUGGAGUGGAUGCUGUCCUGCCCGGGGUGGGGUGGGCGGUCUGCUCGGGUGCUGGCCUGGCUCCCGGGGCAAGCUGGUUUUGGUUUUCCUCAGCAUUAACGCAGGAGAGAUCUUCCAGUAGGCCGGGCGGCUUAACGAUAAAGCUGGGCCUUCACACUCAGGCACGUGGUUGGGCUCAGCCCGAGGUCCCCGGUGAGUUACGCUGUGGGCUGCGGUCUGGGCAGCAGCCUCGGUGGGCCUCCCUCUGGCUCGCAAGUCCUCCUCCCCGCAAGGUCCUCGCGACCCUUGGGUGCUCCGUGGUCCCCUGUGUCUGCACUUCCCACCUGGGGACUUCGAUGCUCCCAGCUCCCCGGGGGGUGGAGGAGGGCACCCUGAGCUGGCUGGCGUACCCCCCACCUGGCCGUGGAGGACGGGCAGCUCGUGCAGAGGGCAGGAGGGGGGGUCUCUGCCCUGCUGGGCUCCACUUGACCUGUGGGGCCUGUGGCCACAGGUGCAGCUCAGAAGCAACCUGCCCCCAGGGUGUGGCCGGGCAGGACCAACAGGGCAGGGCUCGGUGUCCCAGCUGCAGCGGUGCCGCCUCUCCUAAUGGGAGCUGGGUUGGCACGUCUGAACGGCCACAACCAAGCCUCCAAUGCGGAUUCCCGGGAGGGGGUGCUUCCCCUCUGCCUCACUGCAAGAUAGGGGAGACGGACCCCCAGAGAGCGUGCUCAGGCCCUUCCAGGCAUGACCCGGGAGGCAGCUGAUGGCACAGUGGCUUCCGGUAGCCCCGGGACCACAGCUGGACACGAGGCCUCAUCGCCAGCCCCGAAGGUCUCCACCUGACGCUGAGCCCAGAGCCAAGCCCGGCUGUGCUGGGCUUUGAAGGAAGGACGAUUCAGGGCCUCAGAAAGGAGGUGGGAGGGGCCCUUAGGAAUGUGAGAGUGAGCGGGGAAGAGGAGUGAGGCGGGGGAGACGGCAGCGGACCUGCUCCUGGGGGGACGGCCUUGGACACUGACGGGGCUGAGGUCAGUGAAGAUCCUGCGGGGCCGGGAGCUGCAGGCACCGGGUGGGCGAAGCUGGGCGGUGGCCCAUGGCGGCUGCAAGGCCAAGGGGAUGGGCUGCUGCCCGUGUGACGGUCCGCGUCCCUCCGUCCCUCUAACCGCCUCUGGCCGCUUUGAGAACGGGUGUCCCAGGUCGCCGCGGGGCGGCUUCCUCGCCGUGCUGGCUCUUGAGGAAGUAGGAGGAGACUGGCUUCGGGGGAACGAGGUCAAGACCUCGCGGUGGGGAGGAUUUGGAGUCAGGGCCAUGUGCGUGUUGGUCCUAAUGUAAAGGUCAGAUCCUGGGUCCCCCUCCAGCCACUCAGCUCUGUCCUCACUCACCCAACACCUGCCAUGUGCUGAGGGCCGUGAAGAUAAAUCACACACAGGCCUCAAGCUCGGGCGCUGCGGAGGCGAGAACACAGGUAAGGGGGGCACGUGGGGAGCGGGCCCGGGAGAGCCGAGGGGCGGGAGUGCGUCUCCCGCCCGUGAAGACCCAGGAGGCGCCUAGAACAGACAGGAAACGCUUGUCACGGGAGGCCCUUCUCUCUCGGGAUGUUGUUCAGACCCAGACAGCAGAGACGGAACGCUGGGGACUGUCCUCAGACAUUCCCGCAGGAAGAGAGCGGCCCCGGUGCCACCCUCUCCGUGUCCCGUGAGGCUGCCUGCGGCCACCACGUCCCACAGGGGGCAGGGCUGCCAGUCACCUGCCCUCUGUUGUGGUGACGACGUCUCGGCCCUUCCCAAGGACGCUCAUCCCUGCUCCUGCGCCCGACCGGGGGUCCGCCGGGGGCCCAGCCUUGGAGUUCAGAGGCUCAGGUGGCUGCUGCCAUUUUCCCAGAAAAAGAAGACUGGCCCAGGAGGCUCUGGAUGGUGAGGUCGGUCGGUGGCCCAGGCUCCCGGGCUCACUGCUGAGCUGGGGCCACGAGGGCACUGGGCUGGUGAGAGAAGCCACCGGGUCCGCUGCUCCUUGGGCCGAGCCCUGCCUGCCUGCUGGUGACAAUGAGAUAAGAUGCCUGAGACUACGGAGCCGUCGUGUGGUCUGAGCUCCCCACGCGUGUUGGUGCUCCUGGGGCCCUGAGACUCCCCGAGUCAUUGUUUUGCACAAAUGCAGCAUUCUCCCGAGAGCAGCGCCCGCGGGCCGUGUGCAUGUGGACAGAACGCGUGUGGGGCUGAGCGUGGUUCCCGCGCCGCGUCCCCCUGAGCGAGGGGGAGGCGUGGGCUCAGCCUGCAGGGAGGGGGGACGGGCAUUGGCAAAGGCUUCCUGGAGAAAGUGCUCUGAUGACUGACUGGGGUCUAUUUUAAAGGGGGUGAUACACUUGUUUCCCCUUAUUUGCUGCAGGCGAGUAAUGGCAAUUACCUUUCCUGAACUUCUGAAAAGCAUAGAUACACCAUAGACAUCCCUGAGAUACUCCAUGAUUAUUGAAGAAAAAGUCAUUAAUUAUUUAACUUUUCUGGUUGAGAGAGGAAGACGAAGACCUGGAGAGAAGGGGCCUCUGGAUAACCAAGUGGGAGAUGGAAAUGAGGGGGGCGUUCCUUGGCUGUUGAAGUGGGUGCAUGUUUGUAUCUGACAGAGCCACCCCCAGGGACAAGGUCUCAUGUACUUACAAGAGGGUGGCGGGAUCUAAAGCCCUUUCCGAUCCUCAGUCGAUGCUGACAGACAGGCGCUGGGAGCAGGAAGGGGGCGUGCUGCGCCGUCCAAGAGAGCGCUGCGGUCCACCGUGGGCCACUUCUGCGAAUCGUACUCCAGAAGUCCAUCUGGGACUGGGAACAUGGCAUAAAAUACUAAUAUUUUGAUUUUAAUUAUAUCUUUUAUCUAAUAAUUCAAGCAUUAAAAUCAUCCAUUUGUUUUUGUCACAUGUUCUGAGAUAAAUAUCGUCAUUACCACCACCACCAUCACCACCAUCACCAUCAGCAUCAUUACCAUCAUCACCAUCAUCAUCAUCACCAUCAGCACCACCAUCACCAUCAGCACCACUAUCAUCAUCAACACCACCAUCAUCACCACAACCACUACCACCAUCACCAUCAUCACCACCAUCACCACCAUCACCAUCAUAUCAUCACCAUCAGCACCACCGUCACCAUCAGCACCACUAUCAUCAUCAACACCACCAUCAUCACCAUCAUCAUCAUCACCACCACCAUUACCACCAUCACCAUCAUCAUCACCACCAUCAUCGAAAGACCUCUAUCAAGAACCUGAGAGCACAAUGUCCUUUGGCCUGCAAGAUACAAAGAGAAUCGCACAGAUGUACUUGCCCGUUAUGACUAAAAGCUAUUAGAAGGACGAUAAGGCACCUGUAGCUCAUAUGUUUUUAGGACAUGAAGAGAAAUACAGAAACAACAUGAAAUAAGGAUAAAGCAGAGUAACUCUGAAGGGAAAACACUUGUUUUGAGGAGAAAGAUACACACAUCUUAGGCGCAAACCCAGUGAAGUUCUACAACGAGCACCGUGGGAUGAUCAUCAGCGGCCAGUUUCCAGGAGCCUGUUCCUUCUCCACUUUGUCACUAUGUCCUUCCCCCUCAACCUUGAAUAGCCUGACUGCUAACCUUUAGAUUAGCUUUUCCUGAUUUUGAACUGUGUAUGACUGGAAUCAGACAAUAUGUAUUUUGUGUAUCUGGUUUCUUUCCCUCACACUAUGUGAGAUUUAUGCUUGUUGGUGCCUGCCGUUGUAGAUUCUUACUGCUGAAGAUAAACCACAAAUUAUCCCUCUACUAACGAUGAGCAUUUGUGUGGUUCCCAGCUUUGGCCUAUUAAAAUAGCACUGCCGCGAACAUGCUGUUUGAUGGGUCUAUACCUCAGGGCAGAAUUGCUGGAUCAUCAGAUAGGCACCUACUAAA